GUGCUAAUCUGCGAUAAGCGUCGGUAAGGUGAUAUGAACCGUUAUAACCGGCGAUUUCCGAAUGGGGAAACCCAGUGUGAUUCGUCACACUAUCAUUAACUGAAUCCAUAGGUUAAUGAGGCGAACCGGGGGAACUGAAACAUCUAAGUACCCCGAGGAAAAGAAAUCAACCGAGAUUCCCCCAGUAGCGGCGAGCGAACGGGGAGGAGCCCAGAGCCUGAAUCAGUGUGUGUGUUAGUGGAAGCGUCUGGAAAGGCGCGCGAUACAGGGUGACAGCCCCGUACACAAAAAUGCACAUGCUGUGAGCUCGAUGAGUAGGGCGGGACACGUGGUAUCCUGUCUGAAUAUGGGGGGACCAUCCUCCAAGGCUAAAUACUCCUGACUGACCGAUAGUGAACCAGUACCGUGAGGGAAAGGCGAAAAGAACCCCGGCGAGGGGAGUGAAAAAGAACCUGAAACCGUGUACGUACAAGCAGUGGGAGCCUCUUUAUGGGGUGACUGCGUACCUUUUGUAUAAUGGGUCAGCGACUUAUAUUCUGUAGCAAGGUUAACCGAAUAGGGGAGCCGAAGGGAAACCGAGUCUUAACUGGGCGUUAAGUUGCAGGGUAUAGACCCGAAACCCGGUGAUCUAGCCAUGGGCAGGUUGAAGGUUGGGUAACACUAACUGGAGGACCGAACCGACUAAUGUUGAAAAAUUAGCGGAUGACUUGUGGCUGGGGGUGAAAGGCCAAUCAAACCGGGAGAUAGCUGGUUCUCCCCGAAAGCU
rnacentral:rRNA from 1 species